rnacentral:rRNA from 1 species
AGGACGAACGCUGGCGGCGUGCUUAACACAUGCAAGUCGAACGGAAAGGCCCUGCUUUUGUGGGGUGCUCGAGUGGCGAACGGGUGAGUAACACGUGAGUAACCUGCCCUUGACUUUGGGAUAACUUCAGGAAACUGGGGCUAAUACCGGAUAGGAGCUCCUGCUGCAUGGUGGGGGUUGGAAAGUUUCGGCGGUUGGGGAUGGACUCGCGGCUUAUCAGCUUGUUGGUGGGGUAGUGGCUUACCAAGGCUUUGACGGGUAGCCGGCCUGAGAGGGUGACCGGCCACAUUGGGACUGAGAUACGGCCCAGACUCCUACGGGAGGCAGCAGUGGGGAAUAUUGCACAAUGGGCGGAAGCCUGAUGCAGCAACGCCGCGUGCGGGAUGACGGCCUUCGGGUGUAAACCGCUUUCGCCUGUGACGAAGCGUGAGUGACGGUAAUGGUAAAGAAGCACCGGCUAACACGUGCCAGCAGCCGC